UCGUAACAAGGUUUCCGUAGGUGAACCUGCGGAAGGAUCAUUACAACAAUAAUUCAACAUUGUGUCAGAGCAAUAACAUCUAAAACCGAUCAUCAAUUAAUUAAUUCAAAACUUUCAACAACGGAUCUCUAGGUUCUCGCAUCGAUGAAGAACGCAGCGAAAUGCGAUACGUAGUACGAAACGCAAGUCGUGAAUCAUCGAAUCUUUGAACGCACAUUGCGCUGUGUGGCAUUCCACACAGCAUGCCUGUUUGAGCAAUAUUUCUCUCUCGCAAGGUGUUGGGCACCACGCCGGCAGGCGUCUGCCAGAAACGAAAUUGUCUAAAACAGUUAAGCUUGUUACAGACUCUUGAUCUUAUUCUCAAAUCAGGUAGGACUACCCGCUGAACUUAAGCAUAUCA
rnacentral:misc_RNA from 1 species